rnacentral:rRNA from 1 species
GACGAACCGUGCGAACGUUAUUCGGAAUCACUGGGCUUAAAGCGCGUGUAGGCGGGUCGGGACGUCGGUCGCUGAAAUCCCCCGGCUCAACCGGGGAAGGGGCGCCGAUACGGCCGGCCUGGAGGGACGUAGGGGGGGCUGGAACUUCCGGUGGAGCGGUGAAAUGCGUUGAGAUCGGAAGGAACGCCCGUGGCGAAAGCGAGCCCCUGGACGUCUACUGACGCUGAGACGCGAAAGCCAGGGGAGCGAACGGG